GCCUCGUAACGUGGAUAGUCUCCCUUCUCAAGGAUAAACUGCUGGCCCUGGAACUCAGGGUACUCAUAACCCAACCAGCUAAAACACAGGCGGGGAGAGAGGGAACGAGAACGAAAGAGAGAAAACAGAGCGUCAGGAACUAAUCCUCCUAAGGACCUGACAGCGCAUGCAGGUGACAUCUGCUCUGUGAAGGGCUCUGCGUAGGAGUGGACCACAACAGGCCGGCAGGUUUUACCCGAGGACAGGACAGCGAACGCAUCCGUAAUGGCAACCUAUUCCCCAUAUAUGGUACCCAUAGGGCUCUGGUCAAAAGUAGUACACUAUAUAGGGAAUAGGAGGCCAUUUCAGACACGUCCAGAGAGGUGCUGCAGUCCUGGGUUCUCUCCCUCCAUACCCCACCCCCAUCUCUGUGCUCACUGCUCAGAUUGGUUUUAAAGAGACAGGAUUCUCCAGCGGACACCUGUCGCAUGGGGCGUUGCUCAGUUCCAAUAUUGACACAAUAGUCUGGGGAGUGCAGAUUAGUUCCAACUCCUCUCUAUUAUGCCGAGCCUCCCCUCUCUAUGCAAACCGAC